GAGAAUAAUACAUGGGUGCACGAAAUACCAGAUUUAUUUCGAGUCUUGAACAUGAGUGUGCAGCGAACAAGUGAGCGCAGCGAACGAGUGAGAUGUCAUGUUCAACACAAAAAAUAAAUCUGGUAUUUCCAACCACCCAUGUAUUUUUCUGUUUAUUGUAUAAAGGACAGUCUUAAAUGAAAAGCGAUAAUGUUUACACAAAAGCGAUAAUUGAAAAGGCGAUAAAUUUUUACAUGUGAG